rnacentral:other from 1 species
UAUUUGCUACGCGGUUCGUGAGAUAACUAUUCCUGGCGCCAUAGCAAUUCAAUAGGGAGCCGACGCUGUUUUAGACCGUGGUCUUCAUCAUUUGGCACCCACCUAAAUAUUAGGAGCCGAGGAUUGCAAAAUCCACGGCCGUGUGGCAAUUAA